ACGGAAUCUUUCGGGAUUUAGUGGCGGACGGGUGAGUAACGCGUGAGAAUCUGCCUUCAGGUUCGGGACAACAGCUGGAAACGGCUGCUAAUACCGGAUGUGCCGAGAGGUGAAAGCUUUAGUGCCUGGAGAUGAGCUCGCGUCUGAUUAGCUAGUAGGAGUGGUAACGGCACCCCUAGGCGACGAUCAGUAGCUGGUCUGAGAGGAUGAUCAGCCACACUGGGACUGAGACACGGCCCAGACUCCUACGGGAGGCAGCAGUGGGGAAUUUUCCGCAAUGGGCGCAAGCCUGACGGAGCAAGACCGCGUGAGGGAAGAAGGUCUGUGGAUUGUAAACCUCUUUUGAUAGGGAAGAAGAUAGUGACGGUACCUAUCGAAUCAGCCUCGGCUAACUCCGUGCCAGCAGCCGCGGUAAUACGGAGGAGGCAAGCGUUAUCCGGAAUUAUUGGGCGUAAAGAGUCCGUAGGUGGGUGACCAAGUCAGUUGUUAAAUAGUGAAGCUUAACUUCAUAGAGGCGACUGAAACUGGUCAUCUAGAGUGUGGUAGGGGUAGAGGGAAUUUCCAGUGUAGCGGUGAAAUGCGUAGAUAUUGGAAAGAACACCGGUGGCGAAAGCGCUCUACUGGGCCUGCACUGACACUGGGGGACGAAAGCUAGGGGAGCGAAAGGGAUUAGAUACCCCUGUAGUCCUAGCCGUAAACGAUGGAUACUANGCGUUGCCCGUAUCGACCCGAGCCGUGCCGAAG
rnacentral:rRNA from 1 species